rnacentral:rRNA from 1 species
GACGAACGCUGGCGGCAUGCCUAAUACAUGCAAGUCGAGCGAACAGAUGAAGUGCUUGCACUUCUGACGUUAGCGGCGAACGGGUGAGUAACACGUAAGGAAUCUACCUAUAAGCGGGGGAUAACAUUCGGAAACGGGUGCUAAUACCGCAUAAUAUCUUCUUCCGCAUGGAAGAAGAUUGAAAGACGGCUCUGCUGUCACUUAUAGAUGACCUUGCGGUGCAUUAGUUAGUUGGUGGGGUAAUGGCCUACCAAGACGAUGAUGCAUAGCCGACCUGAGAGGGUGAUCGGCCACAUUGGGACUGAGACACGGCCCAAACUCCUACGGGAGGCAGCAGUAGGGAAUCUUCCGCAAUGGGCGAAAGCCUGACGGAGCAAUGCCGCGUGAGUGAAGAAGGCCUUCGGGUCGGUAAAACU